GGCCUCAGGAGUUCCCCACCCUCCACAGAUGACAACUGCAGCCCAGACGACCCAUGGCUAGGACUCUGACAUCCAGCCAUCUCAAUAUUCCAGAGAAGAGGAUGAGUGUGAAGGGUGGUGGCGAUUUUAAACAAGGUGAUCAGGAAGACCUUGUGGAUAACUUCGGGUCUGAGCACACUCCAUCAGGAGUCCCCCUCUGUCACCCGGGCUGGAGUGGAAUGGUGCGA
rnacentral:lncRNA from 1 species